UCCUUCAAAAUGGUGUCCAUGUGCAGCUGUAUCAAAGAUUUAGUGAGACGGACUGUUACCUCACUACUCAGUGACAUGAUGCCUUGACUCAUAGACUUUAAGGACAGAAGAGAUCAUCAUGAUCAUCCAGCCUGACUCCUGCAUGUUGCAAGCCAGAGAACCUCAGCCACUCACUCUGUACCAAAAGAUUUUGCUUUAGCUGUUUUGAAAUACUUUACAGCAUCUUUAAUGAAGGCUUGCAGAAAAAUCUCAGAAGCGGUUUAAAUAUUGUAACAUUACAUUUCUCUGAAUUGGACAUAAUUAAGGUGGUGACAGUGUCAGGACACUUUAGUUUGCAUAAAACAGUAAUUAGUUUUAAGAUAAAGGCUCUAAUUAAGUAAAAAUUAAUGUUUGUUUAAAUUUAGAAAGUCCAACAUGGCUGACCAAAAUGGCAGAGAUGAGGAUGAUGUAGGUAGUGGAAGAUUCUAGCAAACAAAGUGGCGUCAGGAGGAGGAGCUUAAAGAUAACGUUAUAAGAGAGCAACAGUCACAUGUAGGUACAUAGAAGCAGCAAAGGUACAUGUGACUAGGAGGGACUUAAAGAUGACAUAUGAGAGCGACAAACAAAGCACAUGUAGGUACAUGUGACCCUGUGACAUCAUAAGGUUGGGGCUAAAUUCUAGGAAGCUGAUUGGUUGAGACCAGACGACAUCAUAAGGAGGGGCUGAAAAGCUGAAAGCUGAUUGGCUAUCUUUCAGAGCAUAAACAGUAUAUAAGGCCGACAGCCAACAGGUUAAGAGUGUAGUGGGUUCAGCCAACAGGCUGAAACUGUAGGAUGCUUCCAUCAAAUAAGCAGAAGUUAUAUGAGAAGAAGAACGGAGCUACCUGAAAUGCUGCUACCUGCAAGAAAAAGUAGCUACCUGGAAAAGAAGCAGCAACCACAGAAUUCUAAUAGUUGCCACAGCAACGAGCAACUGCCUUCAAGCAAGCUACCUUCUCUUCAGCAACAAACUCCCAGUUAACCACUCAAGACCUGGUGGGAAGCAGUCACAGAAGCCAUGACCUCCAGACAAGAUUUUCACAUCAGCUUGCUGUGACAGAGCAGAAGGCCCAUUCUGAUGAGUCACAGGGAUUUUGGUACCCAUGAUUAGUUAGGACACUGAUGUCAGGAAGUUUGUCUAAAAGUGAGAGAAGGAAAAGAAGGCAACUUUACCAAGAAAAAGGAAUGCAACACCAUUAGUUACACAAUAGCAAUAAACAAGACAAUGCCUUUAUAUGAGGAUGUCAAAGCAUUCUAUAAACAUUAAUACCUGUGGUGAGCUCUGCCAGGAAAAAACAGUAAGACGUGAACCCACUAGUUACAAGAACUCUACCACUGAAAUGAAAUAAUUCAACCCAGCUAAGAAAGAGCUCCCUUAAUGGCUAGAGAUGCUGAAUCAGUCAUACCUGACUUUGUGGAAGAUACUAUCAAAGCAACACUUAUACAUUUCAGUGGGGCUGCAAGAAAAAAGGAGUUUAGAUAGAUCUGUGAGCUGAAUAAAGAGGAAUAUUCAAAUCUGGUUGGCUACAAAAUUUGCUGGUUCGAGCUACUGCCAGAUUAUCUAGUGCAAUACUUUGAGAGACAGUCAUUUGGGAAUGAGUUGCUAAAUUAUAGAACAAGUUGUCAGAAUAUCUAUGACAUGCUACAGUCUCCUAAAUUCAUUUUGUAUCUCACUUUCCUGAAUUGGGUUUUGCAACUACUUGCAGCAAUGAAUUUGACACUGCAGAAAGAGAACUCUGAUCUGUACAAUGCAUACUGCUCUCUGGAGCAGCCUUUAAACGAGGAUUCUACGCUGGAAUCUUUCAUAUCUCCAAGCAACCUGUCAAUCACUAGUGCCAAGGUCACAGAGAUGCUCAGGGAGUGUGAAGAGCAGCACUACUAGCCAGAAACGGAGAUUGCUCAGAUAAAAGCAACGUUCAUCGAAUAUGCAAAGAAACUUGAACAGGCAUUCAAGGCCAGGUUUCCUGAAAAAGACUUGGUGAAGUUCAUGCUUUACUUGGACCCCUGCAACCAAAAGCCAUUACUCUCAGAAAUUCGAAAGCUUUCAGCAAAAUUUACAAAGCACAUUGACUCCAGCAAGGUUGAAAUUCAGUAUACAUUGUACUGUGAGGAUGACACAGUCAAGACACUUUUCAACUCAGACCACUGUGGCAGUAAUGUUAUCAAAUUAUGGUGUCUUUUGUUUAAGUCAAGUGAGAGUGAAUACAGUGACCUGGCAAGGCUUUCACUUCUUUUACUGACACUGAACCCAGACACAUGUUGCUGUGAACGAGGCUUCAGCUGCAUGAACUCAAUCAAAACAUCCACAAGGAAUCGCCUUGAGAACUGUCAGGUUGAUGGCUUUCUAGGUAUUUCGACUUCAACAAAGAACACAAAGGACUUCAGUGUAGCUGUGGCGGCAAGGUACAUUCAAAAACACUAAAAUAAAGCAAAGCCAGAUUGUAAAAGAGGCAGUUCCAUUCCUCUUGGGUCUUCUCGGUAUUUGUGUCUACAGGAUUCUGCUAUGGUGGUGCGAAUUUGGAGAAAACACCGACAUUAUGAUGGGCCAAGUCCUAUACCAAUAAUGAAGCUGUUGUCAAUAAUAUUAAGGAAUGUGUCUUGACAAUUCCAAAAAUAGAGAAUAAACCA